rnacentral:rRNA from 2 species
UAGGGAAUCUUCGGCAAUGGACGAAAGUCUGACUGAGCAACGCCGCGUGAGUGAAGAAGGUUUUCGGAUCGUAAAACUCUGUUGUUAGAGAAGAACAAGGACGUUAGUAACUGAACGUCCCCUGACGGUAUCUAACCAGAAAGCCACGGCUAACUACGUGCCAGCAGCCGCGGUAAUACGUAGGUGGCAAGCGUUGUCCGGAUUUAUUGGGCGUAAAGCGAGCGCAGGCGGUUUCUUAAGUCUGAUGUGAAAGCCCCCGGCUCAACCGGGGAGGGUCAUUGGAAACUGGGAGACUUGAGUGCAGAAGAGGAGAGUGGAAUUCCAUGUGUAGCGGUGAAAUGCGUAGAUAUAUGGAGGAACACCAGUGGCGAAGGCGGCUCUCUGGUCUGUAACUGACGCUGAGGCUCGAAAGCGUGGGGAGCAAACAGG